rnacentral:tRNA from 1 species
UUAACAAGGGGCGACUGGUGAAACGCCUCAUGGUUCCCGGCCACGACUGGGCGCUCCUGGCCCCUGAGUUGAAACCCCAGUUUUUUAAG